rnacentral:rRNA from 1 species
UCCANGAGGCAGCAGGCGCGUAAAUUACCCAAUGUGGACUCCACGAGGUAGUGACGAGAAAUAUCAAUGCGGGGCGCUUCGCGUCUUGCUAUUGGAAUGAGAGCAAUGUAAAACCCUCAUCGAGGAUCAACUGGAGGGCAAGUCUGGUGCCAGCAGCCGCGGUAAUUCCAGCUCCAGAAGCGUAUGCUAAAGUUGUUGCAGUUAAAAAGCUCGUAGUUGAAUUUCUGGUGUGGGAGCCCAGGCCUCGGUGCGAAUGCGCCUUGUAUUGCCUUGCGGCUCCUUUGCCAUCCUCGUUUUUCUUUUGAAGAACGUCAUUCACUGUAAUCAAAGCAGAGUGUUCCAAGCAGGCCGUAGGGCCGGUAUGUUUAUUAUGGGAUGAUCAGAUAGGACUCGGGUGCUAUUUUGUUGGUUUGCACAUCUGAGUAAUGAUUAAUAGGAACAGUCGGGGGUAUCCGUAUUUAGGAGCUAGAGGUGAAAUUCUUGGAUUUCCGAAAGACGAACUACAGCGAAGGCAUUUACCAAGCAUGUUUUCAUUAAUCAAGAACGAAAGUCUGGGGAUCGAAGAUGAUUAGUCACCCCCUUUU